UACGUAGGGUGCAAGCGUUAAUCGGAAUUACUGGGCGUAAAGAGUGCGUAGGCGGUUCGUUAAGUCAGCUGUGAAAGCCCCGGGCUCAACCUGGGAACUGCGGUUGAAACUGGCGAACUAGAAUCUGGCAGAGGGGGGUGGAAUUCCACGUGUAGCAGUGAAAUGCGUAGAGAUGUGGAGGAACACCGAUGGCGAAGGCAGCCCCCUGGGCUGAGAUUGACGCUCAGGCACGAAAGCGUGGGGAGCAAACAGG
rnacentral:rRNA from 1 species